rnacentral:lncRNA from 1 species
ACUCUAAAUCUAUGUGUUCUAAUAUAGAACACUGGACGCGUCCAUACGUUCUGCCACAGAAUACGAAUGUUCUAAUUCGUGCAGCACGUGUUCUAUUGCUGAACGCCUGUGAUCUGUUGUAGAACGCGUGUGUUCUCUCCUGGGAGAAGUCCAUGCACAUUAGCAGAGAUAAUGUGCUGAAUGCUGUUAGACAAAUUUAAAUUCGACCAUCAUAUUUGUGUUUUCGGAAUAUUUAUUUUUGAGAAGAAGAGAGGCUGGUAGAUUGGUAUGUCAAACAGAAAAUGUGUAUAAGAAGGGUUAUAUUUUGAGUUUGAUGAAUAAUAAAUAGUUUAUAAACAUGGCAUACUUUGGGUUAAUAAUAACUUAUAUGUAGCCUGAAUAAAUACAACAAGAAACAUUACUGAAAUACAACUCAUUGCUAAUACAUGGAAAUAACUUGCUUGCAUUGGGGACAUUUACUUGUAUCAGAACACUGGCAUUCUGAUGGCUAAUUUUAGCUGGAUCUUUAAUGGGUGCUCUGGAACUUAUACGGUCUAUUUGCUGAACGCCUGCGUUCUCUCCUAGAACGCGUGUGUUCUGCUGUGUUCUAUAAUGUUAUAUGCGAGAACACGUGUUCCAUUAAUAGAACAUCGGUGUUCUGUUUUUCUAACAAGCAUUCAAAGCUGUCCAUGCUCUGUGAUUCACAUCCGUUAUGUGAGAAACUGGCGUGACGUCGCAUGUAUUUGGCGCUACAAUUUCCUAUGAUCUGAGGUGUGUCUGUGGUUCUAUAUGAAUCGCCUGAAAGUGCGAAGCGGGCUACAUGCAACAAAUCUCUGAACAUCUAAAUUUGGGAUCCGAGGGCAUGAUCAGCAAGCAUCGACAAUGCAUCGAAAUCAGCAGAGAGUAGUGGUGCAUUGCAGAUAAUCAGUACCAUCCAUGGAAAUUAUUGCACAGGGCAGACGUCUACACAAAGGAGGAAAAGACACAAGGUUUUGCAGAUCAAAUAAGAAGGAUGUUGGGGAGUCAUAUUUCACAUGAAGUUUCCUGAAGCCUGCGAUGGUCAUGUCGCUGUUACGAACAUCGUCCUUUGGGGAUAUUUACCCACAAGAAACAUCUGCGAAGUACAUGCGCUUGAAACUUAAGUUAUCUUAAGUAUGGAAGUAUGCUUCAAUUUGCUACACGACAGUUUGUAAUCUUUCAUGAAGAACUCUGACUCAUAAGUGACUUGAAUAUCCAUGAUCAUCCCAAACAAAUGUAAUAAAGAAUUCAUGGUUGCAGUUCAGAAUUUCGUCCGUGUGAUUUUAUGCCAGAUAAUAUGCAUGGGUGUAUGGUUUAAAUUCGUACACCUUGAAAAACAUCGGGUAAAUUGUAUUCGACACACACGAUGAGUUGUCGUUUCAGUAAUGUGGAAGUACGUGUCCGAGAACGUGUAGUGUUCUGAAUCUCGGUCCAGAACACUUUACAGGCGUUCUAAAAGCGUUACAUCGUCAGAACACGUUGAAGCGUUCUAAAUAUG